GGGGGCGUGGCCCAGAGGAGCAAAAGUCUCCGGGGAACAAGGUCUACGGCGCCGGGCUCCAGAUCUCUGCGAAGCAGAUCAGGGUGUGCAGAAACCCGGAGACCGCCGGUUCGAAUCCGGCCGCCCCCA
rnacentral:tRNA from 1 species